UCCCUGUCCCUCUGUGCUCAG
rnacentral:misc_RNA from 1 species